CGUGCAGGCGGCUUGUUAGGUCAGGUGUGAAAUCCCUCGGCUCAACCGAGGAAGUGCACUUGAAACCAGCAGGCUUGAGUACGGGAGAGGGAAGCGGAAUUCCUAGUGUAGAGGUGAAAUUCGUAGAUAUUAGGAGGAACAUCUGUGGCGAAGGCGGCUUCCUGGACCGAUACUGACGCUGAGACGCGAAAGCGUGGGGAGCAAACAGGAUUAGAUACCCUGGUAGUCC
rnacentral:rRNA from 1 species